rnacentral:piRNA from 1 species
UNCUCGGAAGCAUCUAGAGAAGUGCUGCCU